UACGUAGGGGGCGAGCGUUGUCCGGAUUUAUUGGGCGUAAAGAGCGUGUAGGCGGUUCGGUAAGUCUGUCGUGAAAUCCUGAGGCUCAACCUUGGACGUGCGAUGGAUACUGCCGGGCUAGAGGCUUGGAGGGGGAACUGGAAUGCUCGGUGUAGCAGUGAAAUGCGUAGAGAUCGAGCGGAACACCAGUGGCGAAGGCGAGUUCCUGGACAAGACCUGACGCUGAGGCACGAAAGCCAGGGGAGCAAACAGG
rnacentral:rRNA from 1 species